rnacentral:snRNA from 11 species
AUACCUUCUCGGCCUUUUGGCUAAGAUCAAGUGUAGUAUCUGUUCUAAUCAGUGUGAAAACUGGUUUCCGACGUUUUUCGUUGGUCUUUUUCACAUUCAUUUUUGGAACUUCCGAGAAUGCUAGCUUGCUAGCUUUUCUUGGAACGGUCUCCGGGGGCUUUCACUAUCUCCCCCGCGAGGCCAACCACCA